UUUAAUGCUUUUUAUUUAUAAUUGAUUAUUUUUAUACAGAUUAAAUGCUUAUAAAUAUGCUAAUACAGAUAUUAUUCUAUUAUUCCUGUGAAAUUUAUCUAUGAAACUAUAAGUUAAUUUUGAAUUUCAAACGGUAGACGACAUAUCAUUACUAUAUAACAUGAUGGCUAUGCCACGUUCACUUCCAAUUUCUAUACAAAGUAUGAGACAAAACAAUAAUUAAAAUAACUAAGAGAAUACAUAUCUAUAUUUCCAUACUAUGUAUACAAUUUUUAAAUGGUUAUUGAUAUCAAGAAAAUAACUAAAAACGACAUACAAUUAAAAAUUCUGCUGUUGGUUACACUGCUGAUCGAGUUAAUAUUGAUUAAAGUUAAUCGAAGUUGGUCGAAGUGACUCUUACUUUCUUUUAUGCCACACACAUCUUUUACGAUACUAACCGUAAUGUAGCAAUUUGCAAGCAUAUAGCAUCAUAACACAGCAUUGAGAUGGUAACGUAAGGCCAUCGUACACAAAAGUUUAUCAUCCAUUAAAGCAAAAUACCAAGAGAUGAUGAAAGAAAAAGGCAGAAUAUUUGCAGGACUACUGAUUGUGAUUAUGGGGUUGAUAGUAUUACAGUAAAAAAACUCUCAAAUGUGGUUAAAUUAUUAAUGGUGGAUACGACCUAUUAAUCAUAG